rnacentral:rRNA from 1 species
UACGUAGGUGGCAAGCGUUGUCCGGAUUUACUGGGCGUAAAGGAUGCGUAGGCGGAUAUUUAAGUGGGAUGUGAAAUACCCGGGCUCAACCUGGGUGCUGCAUUCCAAACUGGAUAUCUAGAGUGCGGGAGAGGAAAGUGGAAUUCCUAGUGUAGCGGUGAAAUGCGUAGAGAUUAGGAAGAACACCAGUGGCGAAGGCGACUCUCUGGACCGUAACUGACGCUGAGGCAUGAAAGCGUGGGGAGCAAACAGGAUUAGAAACCCCCGUAGUCC